rnacentral:lncRNA from 1 species
GAUUUUUUAAGCUGCAGAAUCCAAAAUGUUAGUGCAGACAUCAUUAAAACAAUGAAUAAACCCUACAGCAUUUUGAUCAGAUGGAAAAGAGAAGAGAGAUUGAGAAAACUUAAACAUCGAUGAGAAAGUAUCACUAGUGGUGGAAAAUAUUAUAUGUGUCAAACAGGCAGGUUUACAUGGUUUAACAACAGGGGAUGACAAAGGCACAGUAAAUAAAAGAGUUUACCUGAGAAACUGUAAUCAACCAAUUCAAUGUCCAGCACUGAAAAACGACGGGACAUCACAAGGUAAAGCGUAGGAUCAUGUGAAUGAGUGGGACCUUUCCUCAGUUGAACUAGAUCAAAUGAGUCUAUAAGACUAAUGAAGUCCUUGGCCAGCAGAUUAGAUGGACAGCACACAUGAACAUCGCAAUCUUUGAGGAUGACUGACAGCGUCAUCGUCUCUGUGCAGAUGAAGGCGACAUCUUGUCCUCGAGUUCAGUUAAAGUUUGUGGCUCUGUUCUGGAGUGGAAGCCUCUCUGCCCUGCUGACCAAUCAGAUCCCUCCGUGUCUCUGUGCUGGCGAAUCCACACGCAGAACUCUUACUGUGACCCUGCCCCCAACACCACCUUCCACGGGACUAGACGGUUUUCUCUAAAUGGCAGUGGACAGGUCUUCUGUCCGUUCGAGGUGAGGAGAGCAGGAGCGAGUGUGAUGUGGUGUGUGCUGGCAUCACUCUCUCUCUCUCUCUCUCUCUGAGUGGAGCGUGGAGGUCGCUCCUGCAUCUCUGCUCCUGCUCCUGAGGUGCUGCUCAGCUGUACGUCAGAGAGGGAGAGACGUGUCUAUCUCAGGGAAACAUCAUCUCACGCCGGGUGGGUAGUAGAUUUCCUUCUGUUUAAAGAGUUUCAUUCCAGAUUCAGUUUGUGUUUGAAUUCAGCAAUACAUGAGAAAGAAUGUGAAAGUUUCUCAUGUGUGAGAACUCACUUUUUUGCUGUGUAAUGUGCUUAUAUUAGGUUUACAUCUUUAACUAAGUAACUAAGUUUUUUUUUUUUACAUUUGAGCCUCGAUAUUUUUAACAUGAAGGUAGAACAAAUGUUAUCUAAAAUAUAGUAAUUGUAAUAGUUAUUCCAUACAUAAAUAUUUUUAUAUCUGUGCAUCACAUUGAUGAUGAUAAUAAAAUGUAC